GAUGAAGAACGUAGCGAAAUGCGAUAAGUAAUGCGAAUUGCAGAAUUUCCGUGAGUCAUCGAAUCUUUGAACGCACAUUGCGCCCACUGGUAUUCCGGUGGGCAUGCCUGUUCGAGCGUCAUUAUCCUCCCUCAAACUCCGGGUUUGGUGUUGGACCCAAGUUGUGUGAACAACUGGUCUCAAAGACAAUGACGGCGUCCGUGGGACCCUCGGUGCAACGAGCUUUUAGGAGCACGCAUCGAGUUGCAAGGACCUUCCGGGCCGGUCUCCUUUACCAUUUUACAAGGUUGACCUCGGAUCAGGUAGGAAUACCCGCUGAACUUAAGCAUAUCAAUAAGCGGAGGA
rnacentral:misc_RNA from 1 species